rnacentral:rRNA from 1 species
CCUACGGGAGGCAGCAGUGGGGAAUUUUGCGCAAUGCUCGUAAGAGUGACGCAGCGACGCCGCGUGAAUGACGAAGGCCUUCGGGUCGUAAAGUUCUUUCGACAGGGAAGAAAAUGCCUAUAAGUAACUGUGUAUGUAUUGACGGUACCUGUAUAAGCAGCCCCGGCUAACUCCGUGCCAGCAGCCGCGGUAAUACGGAGGGGGCGAGCGUUGUUCGGAGGGACUGGGCGUAAAGAGCACGUAGGCGGUGUUGUAAGUCAUUAGUCAAAGACUAGAGCUCAACUUUAGUCAGGCUAGUGAUACUAUAAUACUAGAGUAUCAGAGAGGAUUGCAGAAUGCCUGGUGUAGCGGUGAAAUGCGUAGAUAUCAGGAGGAAUACCGUUAGCGAAGGCGGCAAUCUGGCUGGAAACUGACGCUGAGGUGCGAAAGCGUGGGUAUCAAACAGGAUUAGAUACCCUGGUAGUC